rnacentral:rRNA from 1 species
UUACAGGUAUUAGAGUAGGUGAAUACACGGUUACAUUUACUGAAUAAAGGAGAUUCUUUUUCUAAAAAUAAAAAUAAUUUACAAUUGAUAGUGUACAAAGUACUGUGAAGGAAAGGUGAAAAGAAAUUUUUUAAAAAUAUUUAAAAGAACCUGAAACUUAAUGUAAAUAAACAGUUUUUACCAAACGGUAAUGCGUACCUUUUGUAUAAUGGGCCAAUAAGUAAUUAAGAUUAGCAAGCUGUGUAUGCGUUUUUAAUGAAAGUUAAUUUUAAUUUACCCGAAGCUAGACGAUCUAACUACGAACAGGUUUUUGGACCGAACUCGUAAAUGUUGCAAAAUUUUGAGAUGAUUUGUAGUUAGCGGUGAAAUGCCAAUCGAGUUUAGUUAUAGCUGGUUUUCCACGAAAUCUAUUUUAGUAGAGUAUGAUAAAAAUAUUUAAAACGGUUUUAAUAACUUAUAAAGAAUUCUUCAAGACUAAUUUAUAUUUAUAUACUAAUUUUUUAUUAUUAAUUUAUUAUAAACAGACUAUUAGCGCUAAGGUUUUUAGUCGAGAGGGAAACAGCCCUGAGCGAAUGAUAAGGUUUUUAAAAUAUGUUAAGUUUAAAGAUUUAAGUUUUAAUUUAAUUUAAGGUAGGCUUGGAAGCAGCCAUCCUAUAAUAAAAGCGUAAAAGCUUAAAAUACAAAAAUUACUUUAAAAAAUAAAAGUAGUGAAACUGGAAUCUGAAAAUAAACGAAAUUAAAAUAUAUUACCGAAGCAUCGCGGUCUAUAAUGAUCGGUAGUGGAAUAUGCAGUAGGCUGUAAUUUUAUUUGAAAAAAUAAAAUUUAGUAUCUGUAAUAAUAAUAUUGGCAUGAGUAACGUAAUUAAUAUUUAAAUUAUUAACAUCUAAAACCCAAGGUUUUUGUUGUAAAGUUCAACUACAACAAGUAAACCGGUUUCU